rnacentral:rRNA from 1 species
UACGGAGUGUGCAAGCGUUACUCGGAAUCACUGGGCAUAAAGCGCGCGUAGGCGGUUACUCAAGUCGGAUGUGAAAGCCCUCGGCUUAACUGAGGAAGUGCACCCGAAACUGAGUAGCUAGAGUACUAAAGAGGGUCGCGGAAUUCCCGGUGUAGAGGUGAAAUUCGUAGAUAUCGGGAGGAACACCGGUGGCGAAGGCGGCGACCUGGGUAGAUACUGACGCUGAGGCGCGAAAGCGUGGGGAGCAAACAGG